UACAUGUGGGGCAAGCGUUGUUCGGAAUUACUGGGCAUAAAGGGUGCGUAGGCGGUUACUUAAGUCGGAUGUGAAAGCCCUCGGCUUAACUGAGGAAGUGCACCCGAAACUGAGUAGCUAGAGUACGAAAGAGGGUCGCGGAAUUCCCGGUGUAGAGGUGAAAUUCGUAGAUAUCGGGAGGAACACCGGUGGCGAAGGCGGCGACCUGGGUCGAGACUGACGCUGAGGCGCGAAAGCGUGGGGAGCAAACAGG
rnacentral:rRNA from 1 species